ACGGUUACCCUUGUUGCAGGUGCCGCUGAGCGGCUGAAAAGGGAAUGAGGUGUAAAGCCUCAGCAGCCCCCGCUACUGUAAGGGAAGACGACCCGCCACAGAUCCACUGGACUUCGGUCUGGGAAGGAGGCGGGAGCGGAUGACGCCCGAGCCAGGAGACCUGCCUGCGACAAACGAAAGAC
rnacentral:ncRNA from 2 species